rnacentral:lncRNA from 1 species
GUCAUGCCUGGAACGACCAAACUCUUCGCCCCGUGCUUGAUCAGCCUCUGCCAUCAUUAGCCGAGUUCAUCGGGUGAUCGGUACUAAUAUUACUUGUAGUAUUCAUUUCAGUUCCAGAUUAAUGUCACAUGAUUGAUUAUCAUGUACUAGAUAAUUAUUACCUCGAUGGCUAUGGAGAUGGUUUCGAUGAUAUAUGGGACGAACGAUCUGAUCUCUUCCAUGCUCUUCUUCCUGAAGAAGAACUCGUAAUCGUUGAAUCCGAAUUCGCCGACGAAGAAGAGGGAUCUCCCGAAGAAAUCCUUGCAUUCUGCAGAGCAAAGGUAUGAACUGCCUUUUUAGUUUCGCCAAUUCUACGCGAAUCUGUGAUACAUAGCUGCUACUCUUUUUGCCUUGUGUUGUGCUGCAGAGCGAAGGCUUGAGCGACUCGAACCAGCCCAGCUGAACGCCGAGGCUGGUGUUGACCGGGAACGGGCUGGCGCCCGGAGGAGGAUCGCCGGCGUGGAAG